AUUGAACGCUGGCGGCAUGCUUUGCACAUGCAAGUCGAACGGUAACAGGUUAAGCUGACGAGUGGCGAACGGGUGAGUAAUGCAUCGGAACGUGCCCGGUCGUGGGGGAUAACGCAGCGAAAGCUGCGCUAAUACCGCAUACGAUCUGAGGAUGAAAGCGGGGGACCGUAAGGCCUCGCGCGAUCGGAGCGGCCGAUGUCAGAUUAGGUAGUUGGUGGGGUAAAGGCUCACCAAGCCAACGAUCUGUAGCUGGUCUGAGAGGACGACCAGCCACACUGGGACUGGGACACGGCCCAGACUCCUACGGGAGGCAGCAGUGGGGAAUUUUGGACAAUGGGCGAAAGCCUGAUCCAGCAAUGCCGCGUGCAGGAAGAAGGCCUUCGGGUUGUAAACUGCUUUUGUACGGAGCGAAAAGGUCUCCUCUAAUACAGGGGGCUCAUGACGGUACCGUAAGAAUAAGCACCGGCUAACUACGUGCCAGCAGCCGCAGUAA
rnacentral:rRNA from 1 species